rnacentral:rRNA from 1 species
GGGCGACUGAACUGGGAAGAGCCCAGCGCAUAACCUGGCGUCGUGACCCGGCGCCAGGGGUGUUGCGUUUCGGAGGGUCCGGCACGCAGUCUCUCACCGCCUAAGUUAUGCUUGAAAGCGGCCACUACCCAUGGAGGGUGACAGGCCCGUGUGGCGGCGCCCGCGAGGGUACACGAGAGAUUGUCGGAAAGGGCCUCUCCGUAGAGUCGGGUUGCUUGAAAAUGCAGCCCUAAGUAGGUGGUAAACUCCAUCUAAGGCUAAAUAUGACCACGAGACCGAUAGCGAACAAGUACCGUGAGG